CUGUGCUAGGCGGGGAGCUAGCGGUGCCCUGUUACCUACAAUCCGCUACAGUAGGGCUGAAUGUUGCAGGCGGCUUUCUGCGUGGGAAGCAGGCCUUUGCAAGGAGCGUUGAUACCAAGGUCUUGUGCAACGUGAUACUGUCAACCGUGUCAGGGUGGGAACACAGCAGCACUACGCAGAUUGAGCGUGUGCCACAAGGUUGCUUUGGAGUAGCCACCUACAAAGAUACCGUUUCGGCGUAGACUGUCAACUGCAUCGCACAG
rnacentral:SRP_RNA from 2 species